CUACAGGGAGAACAUAUGUCUCAGGUCAGGGAAUAGAUGGGAAGACAGUUUUUGAGAGCAUGAUAAUGAAGGGAGUUUUCAAUACACUGAGUUUUGUACACCUGUAGUAUAUGCAGGUAGAAACAUCCAAUAAGCAGUUAUUACAUACACAUCUGGAUAUCAGAGGGAGGUCUAAGCUGAACUCAUUCAUUGGAACUCAUCAGCCUAUGUUUGGUUCACUGCCAGGUGGAGUGCAUGAACUGCAUCACACAGGGAGAGUGGAGAGGGGCAGUGGGUGAGCAAGAUGAGCGGGUGCGGGAAACCGGAAGCUCUGCCAGGUGAGGUGCUGGCGGGGGAGGAACCCCAGCCAUGGUAAGAGGGGCCUGGAAGACUGUGUUACUGUGGAUGCUGAGAAAUUGUAAAUUUCCGUGAGAACAGAGAGUGACCAAUGGUGGCAAAUGCCACAACAAAGACAAGUAAGAGAAGACUAGGAAAAGUGCCCAGUGGGUUUGACUGCAAUUGACCCUCAAAGAGCAAUUUCCCGUGAGUAAUGAGAACAGAACCCGGACAGAGAGCGAAUGAGGAUGGGCUGCACUGCAAGGAGAGUAAUUAGAGAACGCGAACUCAGACCAUGCCCUGCACACCAGAGAAAGGAAGGCUGACACCAAACAGGAGCUUCCAGGAUGAAAUGGCUAUGACACAAAUAGAUGAGGUAAUUUAUGCAGUGGCACACAGCUGGCGAGUGGAAGAGCAGAAUUCAAGCUCACACAGUCUGGAAUCAAAGGCUUUAUUCUCAACCACUGGGCUACGCUGCCUCCAUUUUUAUGUUAGCAAUCCAGGCAGCAACUUCCUUCUCAUCCAACCUUGACCUUUUGUUUUGUUGGACUCAGUCCCAGAUCUCUGGGACCUGAUGCUGGGACCUGAUGCUGGACUUUGCAGAAUCAUGGAUCAAAUCCAAAUGCUGCAGUACAUAAAGGUUCUGUCUUCUUAAAAAAAAUCCAAAUUCUUGUAGCUCUUUUACAGAAUGCAAUAUAUGUCCAAAAGUUUAUAAUAAGAUUAUCAAAUGUGAUGUUCUAAAAAUCAAAACUCAUGUGCUUAUAAAAAUGAUUUGCUACAUUAUUACACGCUGCUCUUAAGUCUAACAUUCUCUCCAGAAGUUCCCACAGUUAUAAUUUCAAGCCAGUGAAAGUAAUUAAGACAGGAAAAGGGAGAAUCCUUAACUUACUUUCAGCAGAUUUAGAUUUUCUUCCUGUAAUACUCUUUAUGCAGCCCUCCCUGCUGUUGCAAACUCUUAGAUCUACCCCCAAACAUGUUAUUUACAAAGUCUUAAAGUCUCACAGAUAUUUGCAUUUGUUUUGUAAUGUACUCAACAAGUCAUCAUAAUGCUUUAAAAAGAAUUGAAGAAGACACAGCUGGAUCCUUUCUGUACUGUGAGACUGACUCUUCUCAAGAUUUAAGACUGUCUUCCCACAAACCUUCGAAGUAGAUCUAUUGGACUGCUACCUGAAGGAUCUCCUGGAAAUAGGCAUAUCUUUAAAGCUGAUGCCCAUUGCAUCCUCUUCAUUCUGCAUUACAAAUUUUAUAAUGCCCAGUUUGAUUAAAGGAGUGUCUUUAGGCUAUUUGUUAGGGUCCAACUACAACCUUUGAAUAGAGAUUAGGCUGGGCAGCUUGCAAAUCUUGCACAAAAAGUAAAUCUACUCUUUGCUUUGA